AAAAUUCACCAAACCCAGUGCUGGAGUGACAUACUCUGGAGUCAGAAGACAGCGAAAAGAGAAGCAGAAGCCCCGGUGGCAAGAGUCUGAAGCAGGAAGGAUGACUGUAGCCUGUGGAUUGUACUGCAGUAGGAAACUGUCCUAGCAAGGCUCCACCUUGCCCCAGCUUCAAGCUGGAAAGGAGGAGAACAUGAAACAUUGCUUGAAGACAAUGGCCGAGACAGCAGGUCCCACCCUGCACAGCCAACAGCAUCUCUCCCCUCAGCCCUGUCUCCUCUUCUGCAGUUGGGAUCUGCACAUUUAAGCCUGAAGUGUUGUGGGAUGUAUCUUGCACUGGGGCCAGGCAGCUGACCAGAGCCACCCAC
rnacentral:lncRNA from 1 species